UAUGCUCACAGCAACACAUGUUGCAGUGAGGAAAGGNGCAAUCCGCUAAUAGAGUGGGCUUGCGUCUGAUUAGCUAGUUGGUGGGGUAACGGCCUACCAAGGCGACGAUCAGUAGCCGGACUGAGAGGUUGAACGGCACAUUGGGACUGAGAUACGGCCCAGACUCCUACGGGAGGCAGCAGUGGGGGAUAUUGCACAAUGGAGGAAACUCUGAUGCAGCAACGCCGCGUGAGGGAAGAAGGUCUUCGGAUUGUAAACCUUUGUCUUUGGUGACGAACAAAUGACGGUAGCCAAGGAGGAAGCUCCGGCUAACUACGUG
rnacentral:rRNA from 1 species